UUAAACUAAGAAUAUAAGGGUAGAGCUUUAUAUUCAAUAAUUAAUAAAAGAUGAGUAAAUAAUUAGUUAUUUAUAAAUUAGGCUUUAUAGUGGCCAUAUUUUUAAAGUAUUUUAACUAUUAAAAUAAAUUUAUUUUUUUAUUUUUAUUCUCUUAAUUUUUUUUUUUAAUAGAAUAUUUUUUUAUAAUAAAAAUAGAUUAGAAAUAAUGAAAAUAUUAGUAGAAAUUAUUUUUAUUAAAUUUAAAAAUAUUAAAUAUAUAAAUAUUUUUUAAUAAAAAAAAGAAAAAUUAAAGGAAUUCGGCAAAUUUUUUUUCUUGCCUGUUUAACAAAAACAUGUCUGUAUGAAGUUAUAUAGAGUCUGGCCUGCCCAUUGAAAUAAUUUGAAAGGCCGCGGUAUAUUAACUGUGCAAAGGUAGCAUAAUCAUUAGCUUUUUAAUUGAAGGCUUGUAUGAAGGGUCUGACAAAGAAAAAGCUGUCUUUAGUUUUAUUUUUUGAAUUUAACUUUUAAGUGAAAAGGCUUAAAUAUGUUUAAGGGACGAUAAGACCCUAUAAAUCUUUAUAUUAAGUUUAUUUUCUUGAAUUUAAAUGAUUUGUCUAGAUUUUGUCAAGUAAAAAUAAUAAAUAUUUUGUUGGGGUGAUGAGAAUAUAAAAAUAACUGUUCUAGAAAAAAAAACAGAGUUGUUUGUUUAUUUAUAAUAGAUCCUUUUUAAAGAUUAAGAGUUUAAGUUACUUUAGGGAUAACAGCGUUAUUUUUUUUGAGAGUUCUUAUCGAAAAAAAAGUUUGCGACCUCGAUGUUGAAUUAAAAUAUCUUUAUGGUGUAGUAGUUAUAGAAGAGAGUCUGUUCGACUUUUAAAUUUUU
rnacentral:rRNA from 1 species